rnacentral:rRNA from 1 species
UACGAAGGGGGCGAGCGUUGUUCGGAUUUACUGGGCGUAAAGGGCGCGUAGGCGGCGGGGUCAAGUCGAGUGUGAAAGCCCCGGGCUCAACCUGGGAAUUGCGCUCGAGACUGAUUUGCUGGAGUUCGGGAGAGGAGCGUGGAAUUCCCAGUGUAGAGGUGAAAUUCGUAGAUAUUGGGAAGAACACCGGUGGCGAAGGCGGCGCUCUGGACCGAGACUGACGCUGAGGCGCGAAGGCGUGGGGAGCAAACAGG